rnacentral:misc_RNA from 1 species
GUAGGUGAACCUGCGGAAGGAUCAUUAUUGAAUUAUGUUUCUAGAUGGGUUGUAGCUGGCUCUUUGGAGCAUGUGCACGCCUGUUUGGAUUUCAUUUUCAUCCACCUGUGCACCUAUUGUAGUCUUUGGUUUGGGUAUUGAGGAAGUGGUCAGCCUAUCAGCAUUUGCUGGAUGUGAGGAGUUUGCAGUGUGAAAGCAUUGCUGUCCUUUACUUGGCCAUGGAGUCUUUUGCCUGCCAGAGUCUAUGUCAUUCAUUAUACCCUGUCGAAUGUUAUCGAAUGUCUUUACAUGGGCUUUCAUGCCUAUGAAAAUUAUAAUACAACUUUCAGCAACGGAUCUCUUGGCUCUC